CGCACGGGUGAGGAACGCGUGGAUAAUCUGCCUUAGAGUGGGGGAUAACUAGUCGAAAGAUUAGCUAAUACCGCAUAAGACCACAGGAGCUGCGGCUCUAGGGGUCAAAGGUUUUUCGCUCUAAGAUGAGUCCGCGUAAGAUUAGCUAGUUGGUGAGGUAACGGCUCACCAAGGCGACGAUCUUUAACUGGUCUGAGAGGAUGAUCAGUCACACUGGAACUGAGACACGGUCCAGACUCCUACGGGAGGCAGCAGUAGGGAAUAUUGCACAAUGGAGGAAACUCUGAUGCAGCGACGCCGCGUGAGUGAUGAAGGCCUUCGGGUCGUAAAGCUCUGUCGCAGGGGAAUAACACAAUGAAUGUACCCUGUAAGAAAGGAUCGGCUAACUUCGUGCCAGCAGCCGCGGUAAGACGAGGGAUCCUAGCGUUGUUCGGAAUUAUUGGGCGUAAAGCGGAUGUAGGUGGCUUUGUAAGUCAGAUGUGAAAGCCCAGGGCUCAACCCUGGAAGUGCAUUUGAUACUGCGAAGCUUGAGUGUCGGAGAGGUUACUAGAAUUGUUGGUGUAGUGGUGAAAUACGUAGAUAUCAACAGGAAUACCGGAGGCGAAGGCGGGUAACUGGCCGAACACUGACACUGAGAUCCGAAAGCGUGGGGAUCAAACAGGAUUAGAUACCCUGGUAGUCCACGCCGUAAACGAUGGAUACUUGUUGUUGGAGGUAUUGACCCCUUCAGUGACGAAGCUAACGCGUUAAGUAUCCCGCCUGGGGAGUACGGUCGCAAGAUUAAAACUCAAAGAAAUUGACGGGGGCCCGCACAAGCGGUGGAGCAUGUGGUUUAAUUCGAUGCAACGCGAAGAACCUUACCUAGGCUUGACAUGUACUGGAAGACUGGCAGAAAUGUCGUCGAAAGCAAGGGUCGAGAAAACAGGUGCUGCAUGGCUGUCGUCAGCUCGUGUCGUGAGAUGUUGGGUUAAGUCCCGCAACGAGCGCAACCCCUGCAUUUAGUUGCCAGCAUUCAGUUGGGCACUCUAGAUGGACUGCCGGUGUUAAACCGGAGGAAGG
rnacentral:rRNA from 1 species